AGAGGUCAGAGGGAGUCAGUAGAGGUCACAGAGAGUCAGUAGAGGUCGCAGAGAGCCAGUAGAGGUCACAGAGAGUCAGUAGAGGUCAGUAGAGGUCACAGAGAGUCAGUAGAGGUCACAGAGAGUCAGUAGAGGUCACAGGGAGUCAGUACAGGUCAGUAGAGGUCAGAGAGAGUCAGUAGAGGUCACAGAGAGUCAGUAGAGGUCACAGAGAGCCAGUAGAGGUCAGAGGUCAAAGGGAGUCAGUAGAGGUGAAAAGGGAGUCAGUAGAGGUCACAAAGAGUCAGUAGAGGUCACAGAGAGUCAGUAGAGGUCAAUAGAGGUCACAGGGAGUCAGUAGAGGUCAGUGGAGGUCACAGGGAGUCAGUAGAGGUCAGAGAGAGUCAGUAGAGGUCACAGAGAGUCAGUAGAGGUCACAGAGAGCCAGUCGAGGUCAGAGGUCAAAGGGAGUCAGUAGAGGUCAAAGGGAGUCAGUAGAGGUCACAAAGAGCCAGUAGAGGUCACAGAGAGUCAGUAGAGGUCACAGAGAGCCAGUAGAGGUCAGUAGAGGUCACAGGGAGUCAGUAGAGGUCAGAGAGAGUCAGUAGAGGUCACAGAGAGUCAGUAGAGGUCAGAGAGAGUGAGCAGAGGUCACAGAGAGUCAGUAGAGGUCAGUAGAGGUCACAGAGAGCCAGUAGAGGUCACAGAGAGUCAGUAGAGGUCAGUAGAGGUCAGAGAGAGUCAGUAGAGGUCACAGAGAGCCAGUAGAGGUCACAGAGAGUCAGUAGAGGUCAGUAGAGGUCAGAGAGAGUCAGUAGAGGUCAGAGAGAGUCAGUAGAGGUCACAGAGAGUCAGCAGAGGUCACAGAGAGUCAGUAGAGGUCAGUAGAGGUCACAGAGAGCCAGUAGAGGUCACAGAGAGUCAGUAGAGGUCAGUAGAGGUCAGAGAGAGUCAGUAGAGGUCAGAGAGAGUCAGUAGAGGUCACAGAGAGUCAGUAGAGGUCACAGAGAGUCAGUAG